GCUAACUUCGUGCCAGCAGCCGCGGUAAUACGAAGGGGGCUAGCGUUGCUCGGAAUCACUGGGCGUAAAGGGCGCGUAGGCGGACUCUUAAGUCGGGGGUGAAAGCCCAGGGCUCAACCCUGGAAUAGCCUUCGAUACUGAGAGUCUUGAGUUCGGAAGAGGUUGGUGGAAUUGCGAGUGUAGAGGUGAAAUUCGUAGAUAUUCGCAAGAACACCAGUGGCGAAGGCGGCCAACUGGUCCGAUACUGACGCUGAGGCGCGAAAGCGUGGGGAGCAAACAGGAUUAGAUACCCUAGUAGUC
rnacentral:rRNA from 1 species